GUGUGUGUUCUGCCAUGGAUCAGUGUGAGGACAGAGAGGAGGGAGUCCCUCCCUCUGAAAGGACUCUGUGUGGAGAACAAGAGAACCAGACCACAGCUCAGAGGUCAGAGCCUGAAGUUGAACCCAGCUUUGUUUCCCUGAAGAGUGACCGGUCCAAGGACUUCUUUUUCCACUUCAGAACACACUCUGACUCUGAGUUUCCAUCCAGCUGUGUGUCCCUGAAGAGUGACGGGUCCAGGAGGGAACCCAUUUUAUUUAACAGUGGAGCAGGAGGAGCUGAUGAGGGCGUCAGCCAGCAGAGCUCCCAGGUUCUCCGUGGAGGCUCCGCCCCUCAGCAUCAAAC